GAAAAGAAACCAACAGGGAUUGCCCUAGUAACGGCGAGUGAAGCGGCAACAGCUCAAAUUUGAAAUCUGGCUUCGGCCCGAGUUGUAAUUUGCAGAGGAUGUUUCUGGCGCGGUGCCUUCCGAGUUCCCUGGAACGGGACGCCACAGAGGGUGAGAGCCCCGUAUGGUUGGACACCAAGCCUGUGUGAAACUCCUUCGACGAGUCGAGUAGUUUGGGAAUGCUGCUCAAAAUGGGAGGUAAAUCUCUUCUAAAGCUAAAUACCGGCCAGAGACCGAUAGCGCACAAGUAGAGUGAUCGAAAGAUGAAAAGCACCUUGAAAAGGGGGUUAAACAGUACGUGAAAUUGUUGAAAGGGAAGCGCUUGUGACCAGACUUGCGCCGGGCGGUUCAUCCGGGGUUCUCCCCGGUGCACUCCGCCCGGUUCAGGCCAGCAUCGGUUCUCGUUGGGGGAUAAGAACGGCAGGAACGUGGCCCUCCUUCGGGUAGGUGUUAUAGVCCGCCGUACGAUACCCUGACGGGGACCGAGGUUCGCGCUCGCAAGGAUGCUGG
rnacentral:rRNA from 1 species